AUUACUUUUUCUCCAAAAUCACUUCUCCUUCUCAGACGAAAAAUCUCCAUCAAAACCACUUUUUCUUAAAAUCACUUUUCCUAAAAUCAACUUUUGCUUCAUCGAACCGUAAUUUCUCCAAUCAAAAUCGCUACUUCUCCGUCAUUGAAACCGAUGUUUCUCCUUGGUCAAUCAAAAUCAAUGCUUCUUUAUCAUCUAUCGAAAUCCAUGCUUCUUAUCAUCGAUUGAAAUUGCAACUUCUCCUUCAUUGAUAGAAGCUUCUACUUCUCCUUCUUCGUUGGAAAUCACUGUUUUAACUUUCUCUUUGAAAAUCGCUGCUUCAACUUUCUAAUAGUUACUUUGCCAUUCGAAAUCGCUCACGCAUUUCUCAAAACCUAAUAGUUGAGUGCUGGAAUCACUUAUGAUGUUGCAGCAAGUGCUUUGGUUGGUGCAUCAAAUGUUUUUGGCACUGUUAUUGCUUCCUUCUUGAUGGACAGAAAAAGAAGGAGAAGUCUCCAUAUAUUGUGUGAAAUUUGUAGACUCUUUUGGAGAAUAUUUUUUAUGUUUCUUUUGUAAGCAAUGAGAGCUUAAAGAAAGUCACAAUCUCAUAUGGAAAAUUCUUAGGUGGACACAUACCUAAGAAAUUGUUUUACACACAACCAAUCACAGAAUUUUAAUUAAUUAAAAAAUAAAUACUGAUUUUUCUCUCUCCUUCAUACUCUCAACCACCCCAUGAAUCCCAUUAAAAACAAAAUUAAAAUAAAUUUAAAAAGAACUCUUUCUUAUUGGUUGUUCCUAAGAAUGUGGAUUUAGGGCCGUGUCCAUGCAAGAAUUGCUCAUCUCAUAUAGUGGGCACAUUAGUUGGAGGCUUUAUUCUGGAUUAUAUGGUUGUAAUUUGUAAACGGCCUUUCUAAUUAGACAAACAUUUAAAAACUUAACAAUUCUUCAUACUACACAUAGUUUACCCUCUAAUUGCAGUCCCUUUGAAGCUACGGACUAACAAUAGUAGACCUUAGCUUAAAAUACAUAUACUAGAAAUCAUUAAAACAUUAGAUUAUUUAGUGUUCUUAUAUUGACCAAUUUAUGUAUGUGUGUAUAUGGCCUUUGAUAUGAAUCUCUCCUCCAUGUUUUGCCUCAUAGUAAGCCAAUUAUGGAGGUCUAAAAACCAUAAUUCGAUGUUGAUUUAUAGAUUUGUUACUGUCAUUAAGAGAGAAGCUGCUAGAAGAACUUCACUGGAUGAUACGUGUAAGAAUGGAUCUCAGUUGACCACGAAUAUUCCUAGGAAGGUGUGUCAUAUGGAUUUCUAAAUGAUUGAUUUUGUUCCAAAAUUAACUUUGUGACCAGUGUUUGAUCUUUUCACAUUUUUCAGGAUAGUUCACAUUUGGUUUUUUAUGUGCAAUCCAAUUUGGACAGUUCUUAAGUCUGAAUUUGAUGCAGGCAAGAGGUUCAGUUUGAGAGUAUAUUUUUAAAUCUUUAGCUUGAGAUUUGCUAUGAUAUUUUUGUGGCGAAGUUGAGGUUGUUUAGUUAGAAUAUCUAAACUGCAUACCCAAUUUUGCUAGAGUUUGGUUGUGAUUUAGCUAGGUAUAUUUAAAUAUUAGUUGGUACUUUGCUAGGAAAUUUUGGUAUAGAUAAUUAGCCACCCAAUCCAUGUUACGGCUUAUAUUGUAGUUAAUCCCAAACAAAUCUCCAACUAACUUUGUUUGAUAGAGAUUAGCUACAAAUUUGUUUCUGUUUUUGUCGUAGCUAAACACAAAUUAUCUUGUAGUACCCUCCAUUUAUAAUUAUCAUUUUUAUUCUUCUAUAAAAAAUCCAUUUCUUAGUAUCUAAAAUACGUGGAUCUGUGUGCUUGUAGGUACAAUUAUUUGCAGGAGAUGGAUAUUCAUGAUUGUUUUUAUGAUGACAACACUAUAUCCUAAACGACAUAAUGUGAAGUCUUCAUCUGUCAAGAAAAGUAAUGAUCAAAUAUGUUCUAUUAAGAUCAAGAUUUGUUUGGGAGAUCUAUAUAUUAAGUCAGAUUAAAUAAAGACAACACUUAAUGUCAAUCUGAGUUUGGUGGAGUCUAUGGUGAUAUCUAGUCAAGCAAUCUCUAAUGAUUGUGUAUAUCAAAGAAGCUUUAUCAAGCCUCAUCAUCCAAAAAACAAAUUGUCACAAAUGAAGUUUUAAGUCUAUGAUGAAUCAAGUAAGGAAUAUUAAAGCUUCAAAUAUUAUGAAAGAGAUUAAGUGUGAAAACUCAACUAAA